CUUAUCUACCUAAUAUCGUGCUCUUUGAUCUUUGAAAACUCAAAACAUCGAAAAAAUCAUAAUAAACGGUGAAACGAUUUGUAGCCGUUCUGCAUUGCGAAACUAUUGGCAAAAUAAGAAUUGGUGUAAGCUGGUAUGUGCUGCAGACGUGUUUAGAAGCUUUUGGAUUAGUUCGUGUUUAAUAUACAUUUAAGACAAUCUGAAAUAAAUAUUUACAUACACCAGAAUUCACUUUAUUCGUCCUUCAAAGACAUGUAUAUACAUAAUGUUACAUUGUAAAUGUAAAUUUGAUCCAUAAUUUGUUUCUAUUUUGUAUCAAAUUGUUAGCAUUAAACCCUGACCGAAUAAUAUGAAAUA